rnacentral:rRNA from 1 species
UGGGGAAUAUUGGACAAUGGGGGAAACCCUGAUCCAGCGACGCCGCGUGUGUGAAGAAGGCCUGCGGGUUGUAAAGCACUUUUAGUGGGGAUGAAAUGUGCAGGGCUAACACCUCUGCACUUUGACCUAACCCACAGAAAAAGCACCGGCUAACUCUGUGCCAGCAGCCGCGGUAAUACAGAGGGUGCAAGCGUUAAUCGGAAUUACUGGGCGUAAAGCGUGCGUAGACGGUUACAUAAGUCGGGUGUGAAAGCCCCGGGCUCAACCUGGGAAUUGCAUUCGAGACUGCGUAGCUAGGGUGCGGAAGAGGGAAGCGGAAUUUCCGGUGUAGCGGUGAAAUGCGUAGAUAUCGGGAGGAAUACCAGUGGCGAAGGCGGCCUUCUGGACUGACACUGACACUGAGGUGCGAAAGCGUGGGUAGCAAACA